rnacentral:sRNA from 1 species
CUUGGUCAUUUAGAGGAAGUAAAAGUCGUAACAAGGUUUCCGUAGGUGAACCUGCGGAAGGAUCAUUACAGUGUUCCCUGCCCUCACGGGUAGAAACGCCUACCCUUUGUGUAAUAUAUCUUGUUGCUUUGGCGGGCCGCCUUCGGGCACCGGCUUCGGCUGGGUUGCGCCUGCCAGAGGACCCCAAACUCUGAAUGUUAGUGUCGUCUGAGUACUAUAUAAUAGUUAAAACUUUCAACAACGGAUCUCUUGGUUCUGGCAUCGAUGAAGAACGCAGCGAAAUGCGAUAAGUAAUGUGAAUUGCAGAAUUCAGUGAAUCAUCGAAUCUUUGAACGCACAUUGCGCCCCAUGGUAUUCCGCGGGGCAUGCCUGUUCGAGCGUCAUUUAAACCAAUCCAGCUUGGCUGGGUCUUGGGCUCUCGCCUCCGGGCGGGCCUUAAAAUCAGUGGCGGUGCCACCCGGCUCUAAGCGUAGUAAAUACUCCUCGCUACAGGGCUCCGGGUGGAGGCUGGCCAACAAUCCCCCAUUUUAUCAGGUUGACCUCGGAUCAGGUAGGGAUACCCGCUGAACUUAAGCAUAUCAAUAAGCGGAGGAAAAGAAACCAACAGGGAUUACCUCAGUAACGGCGAGUGAAGCGGUAACAGCUCAAAUUUGAAAUCUGGCUCUUUCAGGGUCCGAGUUGUAAUUUGUAGAAGAUGCUUCGGGUGUAGCUCCGGUCUAAGUUCCUUGGAACAGGACGUCAUAGAGGGUGAGAAUCCCGUAUGUGACUGGUGGCUUUCGCCCAUGUGAAGCUCUUUCGACGAGUCGAGUUGUUUGGGAAU